GGUCGGUUAGCUCAGUUGGUUAGAGCGUAAGUUAAAUUGUCCAUCCCACAUAUUAUAACGUCUAACAUAUCACCAGGUGGUGCUAAUAUCAAUUGAUAUGAUACGCCAAGGUCGCGAGUUCGACCCUCGUACUGACCA